AGUCAGUGACCCAACCGAAAGGAGGGAGCUGCCGAAGGCGGGAUUGGUAACUGGGGUGAAGUCGUAACAAGGUAGCCGUAUCGGAAGGUGCGGCUGGAUCACCUCCUUUCUAAGGAA
rnacentral:rRNA from 1 species